AAGAGGGGCUGGCCCGGUGGCACAGCGGUUAAGUUCGAACGUUCUGCUUCUCGGAGGCCCAGGGCUCGCUGGUUCAGAUCCCGAGUGUGGACAUGGCACCUCUCAACAAGCCAUGCUGUGGCAGGCGCCCCACAUAUAAAGUAGAGGAAGAUGGGCACGGAUGUUAAUUCAGGACCAGUCUUCCUCAGCAAAAAGAGGAGGACUGGCAGUAGUUAGCUCAGGGCUAAUCUUCCUCAAAAAAAAAAAAAAAAAAAAAAAGAAAAAGAAAUGUUAAAGAAGGAAAUGCAGGAGAGAAAUGAAACCAGAUAGAAAUCUGAAUUUAUGCAAAGGAAGAAACAACAUGGGAAAUGGAUGGAUCAUUGGCUUUAAAUGGGAGAUUAGAAGAAUUGCUUUCUCACCCCAACGAUGGACUACGUCAAAAAAUGCCAAAAAAGAUGAAACUGAGAUAUCAGAGUCCUCUGAUUCAUGGAAGGAAGUAAUCUAUUUAAAGAAACUGGAUAUAAUAUAAAUAAAAAAUAAAAAUAUAAGGAAAAGUAUCUUUUCCUUGGCCUUAUAGAUGUUAACAAUUUACCUUAUUGUGUCUUAUGUAACAAAAGACUUUCAGAUAAGUUGUAGUUUCAUUUUGAGAUGAGAGUUUAAAGAAAAAGGAACUGAAUAUAUUAAAAAAUAGAUGUGAAAAGCUCUUUAAAGCCAAACAUUAUUCUAGCUUUUGAAAUCAGAAGUGAAAAAGCCACGGAAACACUUUACAGACUGAAUUAUUGUAUUGCAUUGGCUGGAGCAUAAAAAAUACGAAUGAAGCUGUAUACAGAUGACAUCGCAAUACCUGCUGGAUGAAAAGUCAGUAAAAUAAAUUACGUAAGUUCAAUUUUCCACAUAUACAGUAACUCUUUAAAGAUUUAACUGAAAUCAUGAAGAUUGGGUUGAUAUCUCGUCUGCAGAAUUGUAAUUUUACCUUAAAAAAUGGGCAGGCCUACAGAUUUUGCUGGACUAGCUGUUUUGCCUACAUCUAUCUGGUAUCAGCACCAACUAAUCAUCAGAGAAGAUCUUUUAUUUGAAUGACAGGCAUUAAAUACAACUUGUGCUGAAAUAUCAAAGUGGUAAAUGAACUUUUUGAAUUUCAUAGUUUAUCUUGGAACACCUGCAUUAGCAUUUGCAUUGAUGGUGCAAAAGCAAUGGUGAGUAAAACUGCUAGCAUGAAUUAAGUCAAUGUAUUCUUCCUGCCACACGUUAUGAAAAAAAAAAGUUUAAGAAUGUCCUUAAAAAAACUUAGUAAAAACCAUUAAUUUUAUGGAGUACAUGUCCCUUUAACAUUUUGUGUGACAAAUGGGAAAUACACGUAAAUUAAUUCUUCUGCAUACUAAAAUACAGUGUCUUCAGAAAAAGCACAUGUAAGUCUUUUGAGUUGCAAGCUCAAAUAGCUGCUUUUGUCAUGGCAAACCAUUUUUACUUGAAACGAUGACGGACAAACUAUGAUCAUUUAAGACAUUUUCUUGUACAGAAAUGAAGCCUAUUAAUGCAAGGAAAAUAACUGAACGAUUUGAUGCCAGUGAUAAAAACCAAACCAUAGCAAGGGUUGGAACAAGCUCCUCUGACUCCUCGGAGGCAUAUCUUAAGUUUGUGGAAGCUGAUGUUUAUACACUGGGGAAUUGCAGUGGUGGGCAGGAGUUGUUCAUCUUACUUAGUAAGAAGUCCCAGCUUUAGCUAUCCAGCUUUAGCUGCCCUUUUGCUCUGAAAAGGGCAGCUGCGGUUCUCCAAGCUUUCUGGCAUGCUUGCUUAGAGAGAAGAGCAGUGGGCUGCAGCUGCCAUCAUCCAGCAGAGGAGACAGGAACACCAUGUGUACAAGCCAGCAGAUGCGGAGAGGUAGGAGACAUAGCAAUGUGAGGCUUAGGAGGAAAACAGGCUGUCAAAGGAGAAAGAAGCAAAAUUAUCCUGGUGC
rnacentral:lncRNA from 1 species